rnacentral:lncRNA from 1 species
ACCAUCCCCACCUGCACCCACAGAAGAACAGGGACCAGGGCUGCGAGAAAGCAGGGCAGUGGCUUUCCUUCAGCCCUCGGUGCUCCAGGGACAAAUCCCACUGAGCACAUCCCUCAGGAAACCAUGCAGGGUCAGAACCAGCCCCCGGCUUCCCCUCUGACUGGGCUUUCCCGACCCAGGCUCUCAAGCCACAGCCUGUCAGCAUCACAGGAACCAGGGCCUGGUCUAGGACCAGCUGUUCAAAGGCCCUGGGUCACCCCUCACCAGAGAGACCCCAGCACAGCCCAAAAGAGAGAAGCGAUGCCCCUUUCCGGGAAGCCCAGCUCUGGGGGCUGCAACCCACCAGGACCCCCGCCAAGACGUGGGGGAGCCUCCAUCUCCCCACUGCCAGUCAGCCCUCCUCACCCCAGAUACAUCCAGGAACCACCUGCAUAUACAGUCUUUGGUUAGGAAGAAGGUGGAGGUGGAACAUCCAGGUGCAAAUUCAUUCAGCCUCUGCUUCCCUCUGAGGAGAAGAUGCACUGGGUUCUUCUCCAUGACUUUUAAAGGUUGUUGUAACAGCCCUGCUUGUACAUGCCAAGCUUCUGAAGCUCACAGAGCCAUGGGAAGCCCUCACCCCGACUCAGGCAGGGAGUCCCAGCCUCCGGCCUGAUGCUCAGAACUGCUGCAAACCCCCCUGGAGAGAGCAAGGAAAGUAGGUCUCACGCACAAACUCUCUCACCUGGACCUGUUAAUGGCUGCCUAUGGGGUCAGAUGGGAAAGGUACCUGGUUUCUGAACUGAGAACAGAGGUGUCAGGAGCUCCUGCGCCCGUCCCAGCACGGGCCACCUGUCCCCGAGGGCAGAAAUGCUGUGACCCUGCACCCUCUGGUCAGAUGCUUCUGUCCUGCCCUGCCACAACCCCCUCCUGCAAGAGCUUGAAUAUCACCACCCCCUGGUGAAGCCACUGCCUCUGGGUUUCUGGAUCAUGCACCCAUGAGCCACAGGAGCACAGGCUUGCACAGGAAGUGUUUGGCACCUGAGCCCCCAAAGCGUGGGUGUUCAUUCCCCUCUGCCCCUGAUGGUCUCUUUCCCACUGUGCACACAGACUGGGGUUCCUGGGGGGCUCACCUGACACCACCUGGCUCCUGGCACCUGCUCAGUACCCCUCAGCCUGUCAUUCCAUGCCACAGCCCCUCCCCUGGCCCCAAAGAGAUGCUGCCUGUCAGUGUGAAGAAAAUUAUCGAAUCCCACAUAGGACCAAGAGCUCAGGAAUGUGAGCUGCUGGGGGCUCCAAAUGCCAUCCAGCUCAUCUCCCCAGGGGAUGACUUCAAAAGGUGUUCUUGCAGGAGCUCUUCUCAUAGGAUAAACCCAGCUCACAGGGGCCACGGCAGCCACACGAAAGGAGCCUCCUUGCAGGCCCUGGGCCGGCGUCUGUUGGAUCAACCUGAAUCCACCCGAGACCUGCAAAGCCCCUGGUAUUUUCUUGCUGCUCUGUGGCCCUGCCCACCUUCCAGACAGAACUACUACCAGGCACAGGCACAGACGCACACAAAGACGACCAGAGAGGCUCCCGGGCUCCACUCUCAUGGAGCUGGUCCAAUCCACACACAGUGGGUACUAGCAACCUCAAAUUUUAAAGUUUGUUUAAAGCAUGUUACCUAUAAAAAUAAAGGGCUUUUAAGAGCCGUAAGUGGAAAGAUUGAACUAAAUGUUCUGUCCUAUCAUCCAAACUUUCUGUCCACAUCUGAACGAACCCAGCACGUCCCUCUCUCCUUGUCCUUCUAUAAACUCACAAGGUCAGAAGGAAUCAAACAUGAAAAGGUGUCCGUGACCCUCUCAGAAUGAAGCCAUUGUUGCUGUUUUCUUUGGCUAAAUGACUCAGUCAAGUUUCGAAGAGGAUUAACGUCUGUGUACACUGCUGUUUUUUCUAGAACCUAUUUGGGGUUUCUCAUACUUAUUCUAGAAAAAGUGGAUGCAGGAGGCACCUCUCCCUAGAGGGGUGAAUUUAGUGGGACAUUUGGCAUAACUCUGCCGGAGGGGUUGGCGCAGGCGUCUGUCUUCUGCAGCCUUGAUUUCUGUGGGUGGAGGGUGAGGCCCCUCGCGGCUGUACCGAGGGAGGCCUGCACAGGGCUGGCUUACAGAGCAGGCUUUUGCUGUAGGACAGCCUGCUAUGGGGCUAUGUGCCACCCUGACCCACAGAGCCACGUGCCCAGAGACAUUUCAAGGAAGCUUCCAGAUCCCAGCCCACGAGCCCACGGAAUGGCGCAAGAUUCCCGCCAGCAAUCACACAGAAACUGGCCAUU